rnacentral:rRNA from 1 species
AGAGUUUGCCCUGGCUCAUGAUGAACGCUGGCGGCGUGCUUAACACAUGCAAGUCGAGCGAAGCACCCGGAAGUUUUCGCACGGAGGGGUGACUGAGCGGCGGACGGGUGAGUAACGCGUGGGUAACCUGCCUCAUACAGGGGGAUAACAGUUAGAAAUGACUGCUAAUACCGCAUAAGCGCACAGGGCCGCAUGGCCCGGUGUGAAAAAUUCCGGUGGUAUGAGAUGGACCCGCGUCUGAUUAGGUAGUUGGCGGGGUAACGGCCCACCAAGCCGACGAUCAGUAGCCGACCUGAGAGGGUGACCGGCCACAUUGGGACUGAGACACGGCCCAAACUCCUACGGGAGGCAGCAGUGGGGAAUAUUGCACAGUGGGCGAAAGCCUGAUGCAGCAACGCCGCGUGAGUGAAGAAGUAUUUCGGUAUGUAAAGCUCUAUCAGCAGGGAAGAACAUGACGGUACCUGACUAAGAAGCCCCGGCUAACUACGUGCCAGCAGACGCGGUAAUACGUAUGGGGCAAGCGUUAUCCGGAUUUACUGGGUGUAAAGGGAGCGUACACGGCGAGACAAGUCUGAAGUGAAAGCGCGGGGCUCAACCCCGGGACUGCUUUGGAAACUGCCUUGCUGGAGUGCUGGAGAGGUAAGCGGAAUUCCUAGUGUAGCGGUGAAAUGCGUAGAUAUUAGGAGGAACACCAGUGGCGAAGGCGGCUUACUGGACAGUAACUGACGUUGAGGCUCGAAAGCGUGGGGAGCAAACAGGAUUAGAUACCCUGGUAGUCCACGCGGUAAACGAUGAAUGCUAGGUGUUGGGGAGCAAAGCUCUUCGAUGCCGCCGCAAACGCAUUAAGCAUUCCACCUGGGGAGUACGUUCGCAAGAAUGAAACUCAAAGGAAUUGACGGGGACCCGCACAAGCGGUGGAGCAUGUGGUUUAAUUCGAAGCAACGCGAAGAACCUUACCAAGUCUUGCCAUCCUCCUGACCGGCGCGUAAUGGCGCUUUUCCUUCGGGACAGGAGAGACAGGUGGUGCAUGGUUGUCGUCAGCUCGUGUCGUGAGAUGUUGGGUUAAGUCCCGCAACGAGCGCAACCCUUAUCCCCAGUAGCCAGCAGUAAGAUGGGCACUCUGAGGAGACUGCCAGGGAUAACCUGGAGGAAGGUGGGGAUGACGUCAAAUCAUCAUGCCCCUUAUGAUUUGGGCUACACACGUGCUACAAUGGCGUAACCAAAGAGAGGCGAGACCGCGAGGUGGAGCAAAUCUCAAAAAUAACGUCUCAGUUCGGAUUGCAGGCUGCAACUCGCCUGCAUGAAGCUGGAAUCGCUAGUAAUCGCGGAUCAGAAUGCCGCGGUGAAUACGUUCCCGGGUCUUGUACACACCGCCCGUCAA